rnacentral:rRNA from 1 species
GAUGAACGCUGGCGGCGUGCCUAAUACAUGCAAGUCGAGCGAACAGAUGAGGAGCUUGCUCCUCUGACGUUAGCGGCGGACGGGUGAGUAACACGUGGAUAACCUACCUAUAAGACUGGGAUAACUUCGGGAAACCGGAGCUAAUACCGGAUAAUAUAUUGAACCGCAUGGUUCAAUAGUGAAAGACGGUUUUGCUGUCACUUAUAGAUGGAUCCGCGCCGCAUUAGCUAGUUGGUAAGGUAACGGCUUACCAAGGCAACGAUGCGUAGCCGACCUGAGAGGGUGAUCGGCCACACUGGAACUGAGACACGGUCCAGACUCCUACGGGAGGCAGCAGUAGGGAAUCUUCCGCAAUGGGCGAAAGCCUGACGGAGCAACGCCGCGUGAGUGAUGAAGGUCUUCGGAUCGUAAAACUCUGUUAUUAGGGAAGAACAAAUGUGUAAGUAACUAUGCACGUCUUGACGGUACCUAAUCAGAAAGCCACGGCUAACUAGGUG